rnacentral:rRNA from 1 species
ACGCUCGACACCUACGGGAGCAGCAGUGGGGAAUAUUGGGCAAUGGGCGCAAGCCUGACCCAGCAACGCCGCGUGAAGGAAGAAGGCCCUCGGGUUGUAAACUUCUUUUAUCAGGGACGAAGCAAGUGACGGUACCUGAUGAAUAAGCCACGGCUAACUACGUGCCCGCAGCCGCGGUAAUCUGAGCGGGCUGGCAAGGC